rnacentral:rRNA from 1 species
GAGUUUGAUCAUGGCUCAGGAUGAACGCUAGCGGCAGGCUUAAUACAUGCAAGUCGAGGGGCAGCGCGGGUAGCAAUACCUGGCGGCGACCGGCAAACGGGUGCGGAACACGUACGCAACCUUCCCAAAACUGGGGAAUAGCCCUCCGAAAGGAGGAUUAAUACCCCGUAACACAAUUAGGAGGCAUCUCUUGAUUGUUAUAGCUCAGGCGGUUUUGGAUGGGCGUGCGGCUGAUUAGGUAGUUGGCGGGGUAACGGCCCACCAAGCCAUCGAUCAGUAACUGGUGUGAGAGCACGACCAGUCACACGAGCACUGAGACACGGGCCCGACUCCUACGGGAGGCAGCAGUAAGGAAUAUUGGUCAAUGGACGCAAGUCUGAACCAGCCAUGCCGCGUGAAGGAUGAAGGCCCUCUGGGUUGUAAACUUCUUUUAUCUGGGACGAAAAAAGGGGAUUCUUCCUCACUUGACGGUACCAGAGGAAUAAGCACCGGCUAACUCCGUGCCAGCAGCCGCGGUAAUACGGAGGGUGCAAGCGUUAUCCGGAUUCACUGGGUUUAAAGGGUGCGUAGGUGGGCAGGUAAGUCAGUGGUGAAAUCUUCGAGCUUAACUCGGAAACUGCCAUUGAUACUAUCUGUCUUGAAUAUCCUGGAGGUGAGCGGAAUAUGUCAUGUAGCGGUGAAAUGCUUAGAUAUGACAUAGAACACCAAUUGCGAAGGCAGCUCACCACGGGAUGAUUGACGCUGAGGCACGAAAGCGUGGGGAUCAAACAGGAUUAGAUACCCCUGGUAGUUCCACGCCCUAAAACGAUGGAUACUCGACAUAUGCGAUACACUGUAUGUGUCUGAGCGAAAGCAUUAAGUAUCCCACCUGGGAAGUACGACCGCNAGGUUGAAACUCAAAGGAAUUGAC